AGAGGAAUGGCAGAAUAAAUUAUGCGUUUGACUUGAAAUCAUAAGACAGAGGUAUGCAAUCCUCUUUCCUCUU
rnacentral:tRNA from 1 species